UUUGUCUUAACAUCGGCGCCAUCCCAUAGCCUCACAUGUAAAUCCAUCUGUUUGGACUGUAAAUAACUAUUCAGGCUUUUGUCGAAGAGAAUGACGUAUGCCCUUUGCUUCAUUACGUUGGACAACGUCAGACUCCUGAAGUGGGGCGCGAGACCGAAAGAGCAGAGGUACGAGCAUUUGCUUUCGCCACAAGCAAACUGUGUUGCUAUCUGGCUAUCGGGGAACAUUCUUUGAAAGAGCAGGCUAGCAUCUUCAGAUGACUUAAACGAAUAAUGCGAAUUAGCCACCUUCAGUGCCCACAUUACCUCCGCAGUUAAGACUUCCUUUUUUGUGACAGCAUCGGUUAUUGACGACUGCUUGGCCAAAGAGAGAGACGUGCUGUUUGCCGUAGCAGUUGCCCUGGCUGUGGUGCAGCAGCGCUCUGGUGUUUAGUGCCUUUCGCAUGGCUCGUUAAUGCCGCCUCUCUCAUGUUAGAUAUGUCAAACGUUUUGUCACCACAUAACCUACAUUUAGCUCGGCCCGGGUCUUUGUCGGAUGAAACCCAUGACAUAUAUUUCUCAUUUCGCAACCAAGCAUUGCUGAACCUACACUUCCCUGGCAUUUUGAAUAAUUUUGGCUUCCCUCAGAUACUGUUGCUAUGGCCAACAAACGUUUCAGUUGCGUAUGUUUUAGUUUCAGCGCGUGCCUGUUUAUACUUUGAGCGUAUUUCAUUUAAAGGCAUAUUCAUGAUUUAAAACUCAGCGUAAAUGAACGACAAGAAAAUAUGAAUAAAAAAAAUUUCCAUGACUUUUCCAAAA